UACGAAGGGUGCAAGCGUUAAUCGGAAUUACUGGGCGUAAAGGGUGCGUAGGCGGUUGUUUAAGUCUGUCGUGAAAUCCCCGGGCUCAACCUGGGAAUGGCGAUGGAAACUGAGCAGCUAGAGUGUGUCAGAGGAUGGUGGAAUUCCCGGUGUAGCGGUGAAAUGCGUAGAGAUCCGGAAGAACACCGGUGGCGAAGGCGGCCUGCUGGGCAGUAGCCGAAAGGCUUUCAAGCUGACACUGAGGCGCGACAGCGUGGGGAGCAAACAGG
rnacentral:rRNA from 1 species